rnacentral:ncRNA from 3 species
GAAAAGCAUAAUAGAGAAGCUGGUUAAAUGCCAGCACGGUCCCGCCACUGUAUGGUCGAGCGAGUCUAAAUUAAGUCACUGGGAAACUGGGAAGGCUAGAUGAGCGAUGAAGCCGAGUCAGGAGAACUGCCUAUUCAA